GAUGAACGCUGGCGGCGUGCCUAAUACAUGCAAGUCGAGCGAACAGAUGAGGAGCUUGCUCCUCUGACGUUAGCGGCGGACGGGUGAGUAACACGUGGAUAACCUACCUAUAAGACUGGGAUAACUUCGGGAAACCGGAGCUAAUACCGGAUAAUAUAUUGAACCGCAUGGUUCAAUAGUGAAAGACGGUUUUGCUGUCACUUAUAGAUGGAUCCGCGCCGCAUUAGCUAGUUGGUAAGGUAACGGCUUACCAAGGCAACGAUGCGUAGCCGACCUGAGAGGGUGAUCGGCCACACUGGAACUGAGCCACGGUCCAGACUCCUACGGGAGGCAGCAGUAGGGAAUCUUCCGCAAUGGGCGAAAGCUUGACGGAGCAACGCCGCGUGAGUGAUGAAGGUCUUCGGAUCGUAAAACUCUGUUAUUAUGGAAGAACAAAUGUGUAAGUAACUAUGCACGUCUUGACGGUACCUAAUCAGAAAGCCACGGCUAACUACGUG
rnacentral:rRNA from 1 species